rnacentral:rRNA from 1 species
UACGUAGGUGACAAGCGUUGUCCGGAUUUACUGGGCGUAAAGAGCGCGCAGGCGGUCGAUCAAGUCGAGUGUGAAAGCCCCCGGCUCAACUGGGGAGGGUCAUUCGAUACUGAUCGACUCGAAGGCAGGAGAGGGUAGUGGAAUUCCCGGUGUAGAGGUGAAAUUCGUAGAUAUCGGGAGGAACACCGGUGGCGAAGGCGGCGACCUGGGACAAUACUGACGCUGAGGUGCGAAAGCGUGGGGAGCAAACAGG